rnacentral:tRNA from 1 species
GAUAAAAUGGCUGAGAGUUAGGCAAUAAAUUGUAAAUUUAUGAACGAAAUGAUUUUUCUUUUAUCA